CCUACGGGUGGCAGCAGUGGGGAAUAUUGCACAAUGGGGGCAACCCUGAUGCAGCGACGCCGCGUGAGUGAAGAAGUAUUUCGGUAUGUAAAGCUCUAUCAGCAGGGAAGAAAAUGACGGUACCUGACUAAGAAGCCCCGGAUAACUACGUGCCAGCAGCCGCGGUAAUACGUAGGGGGCAAGCGUUAUCCGGAUUUACUGGGUGUAAAGGGAGCGUAGACGGUGAGGCAAGUCGGAUGUGAAAGCUCGGGGCCCAACCCCGGGACUGCAUUGGAAACUGUGGAACUGGAGUAGAGGAGAGGGAGGUGGAAUUCCUAGUGUAGCGGUGAAAUGCGUAGAUAUUAGGAGGAACACCAGUGGCGAAGGCGGCCUACUGGACGAUGACUGACGUUGAGGCGCGAAAGCGUGGGGAGCAAACAGGAUUAGAUACCCGAGUAGUC
rnacentral:rRNA from 1 species